AUUAGUAUGGUGUAAUGGGUAACAUGCCUCCCUCUCAGGGAGGAGUUGGGGGUUCGAUUCCCUACCUACCUAUG